rnacentral:rRNA from 1 species
UACGGAGGGUGCAAGCGUUAAUCGGAAUUACUGGGCGUAAAGCGCACGUAGGUGGUUUUGUAAGUCGGAUGUGAAAGCCCUGGGCUCAACCUGGGAAUUGCAUUCGAUACUGCUUAACUAGAGUAUGGUAGAGGGAAGUGGAAUUUCCGGUGUAGCGGUGAAAUGCGUAGAUAUCGGAAGGAACACCAGUGGCGAAGGCGACUUCCUGGGCCAAUACUGACACCGAGGUGCGAAAGCGUGGGUAGCAAACAGG